rnacentral:snRNA from 1 species
GUACUUACUUCAGCAGCAUAUAUGCUAAAAUUGGAAUGACAAAGAGAAGAUUAGCAUGGGCCCUGAACAAGGAUGACAUGCAAGUUCAUGAAACAUUCCUUAUUUUA